AGGGUAAUAGUUAAAAUAUACCGUUUGAUUUGCAUUCAAAAAUUAUUGAUUUAUUCAAUUUACCUUG
rnacentral:tRNA from 1 species